rnacentral:rRNA from 1 species
UACGUAGGGUGCAAGCGUUAAUCGGAAUUACUGGCGUAAGCGUGCGCAGGCGGUGAUGUAAGACAGAUGUGAAAUCCCGGCUCAACCUGGGAACUGCAUUGUGACUGCAUCGCUGGAGUACGGCAGAGGGGGAUGGAAUUCCGCGUGUAGCAGUGAAAUGCGUAGAUAUGCGGAGGAACACCGAUGGCGAAGGCAAUCCCUGGGCCUGUACUGACGCUCAUGCACGAAAGCGUGGGAGCAAACAGG